AUACGGAGGGUGCAAGCGUUAUUCGGAAUCACUGGGCGUAAAGGACGCGUAGGCGGGUUGGCAAGUCAGAUGUGAAAUCCUACAGCUUAACUGUAGAACUGCAUUUGAAACUGCUAACCUACAGUAUGGGAGGGGGAGAUGGAAUUAGUGGUGUAGGGGUAAAAUCCGUAGAUAUCACUAGGAAUACCGAAAGCGAAGGCGAUCUCCUGGAACAUAACUGACGCUAAGGCGUGAAAGCGUGGGGAGCAAACAGGAUUAGAUACCCUAGUUAGUCC
rnacentral:rRNA from 1 species